UAUUAGUUACUUUUCUGUUUCUUGAAACAAGGUGAGGGGGAAAAAUCGUGAAAUCCUGAGUCCCGACGCCCUACCCUCUCCUAUCUCCCUACAGCUCUCCACAAGCUACAACUCUCCACAAAGCUCGGUGACCAUGUCUGCUCUCUUGCGAAGCUCCGGCGAUCGUCUCUGCUCUCUCUCGAAACUCAGCAUUCUCUGCUCUCUUGCGAAGGUCGACGUUCUCUGCUCUCUCUCUCUCUGUCUCUCGUCAAGCAACGGAGAUUUGCAGCGACAAGUAUGAUCGUCAAGCUCAGUUGACAGAACAUGGCAUCACAUUUCAUCUCAUACGAGUUGGGAUAAAGGGAGAAACUGUAUUAGUGGGAUGUGUUUAAUCUUGUAAUUCUCUUUGCCUCCAUCAAAGAUCUGGGUGCAAGGGAAUCACCUUCAGUUCUUUUAGAGUGGUGACAUAUUGCAAUCCUUGUGGAAGACUCAUCAACUAUGGACAAUCAGGCAGAUCACAGAUUUCUCACUAUUGUGAUGAAUACAUACUGAAAAUUUGAUUAGUUUUUCAUGCAGGAAGCAGCAGUAGAUUAGUUUUUAAUUGUUAUGACCCCCGUAUUCAUACAUUUACAACUCUAUGGCCCGCAUAAAAACUCUAUGGCCUGCAUAUGAUGCUGGUGCACAUAGAUGUUUUUCUUGAAAAUAAUAGAUCCAUAAAACUAAAAAGGGAAAAGGGAAGGAGUCCAAGAAAAUAAUAUACUAGAGGAAAGAAAAUGAGGUUCAUGUAUAUAAACUAUUUAAUUUGUUUGUCAUGUCCUUGACUCCAUGUUAAGAUUAUAUUUUCUAUUAUUGUGAAUUCAUCUAUUUUGGUGAGUUAUUUUGUAGUAGUUACCUUUUAUAUUUGUUGCAAGAAAUAGGAUUCUUGCUGAUAUUUUGUUUCCAUUUAUUGCUAUUGUUUCACUCACUUUGGAAAUUUUGGUUAUUUCUUUUGAGAGAUUUCCUUUUGUCAUUGUUGAAUGCCAGUAUGUGAAUGUUCAAUAUGCAUAUCCGAUUGUGAGCUGAUGAUUCUUGACUUUAACAUGAUUAAUGUUUCUUUUAUGUAGACAAUAUGUCAUAUAGUGGAAACCCUACUCCCGCUCCAACCACAACCACAACCACAACCACAAUCCUUUGGAAUGCUUCUGAAUUGAACAUAUUCAUCAACUUAAUGAUUGAUAAUGUAAGAAAUGGUUAGAAGUCCAACUCCACAUUCAGUAAGGUUGGGUGGAAUAACAUUAAAGCAGGAUUAGAAGCAACUUUCCAACGUCCAUUUUGAAAAGAGCAGUUGCGUAAUAAAAUGAAUAAGCUAUGAGGUGACUAUAAUAGUUUUAGGCAGUUGCUCGAAACUACGGGAUUUGGAUGGGAUUCAAAUACCAGGACUGCUACAGCUACAGAUUCUGUUUGGGAAAAUGCUAUAAAGGUAAUCCAUUCCUUGAAGCAAUAGUCAAUGGAUAAAUAUAUUUUUUUUUUUUUUGCCAACAGUGUAUAAUAUCGAUUAUUUUGGAUUAUAGGAAAAUCCAAAUUGGACCAAAUUCCGAAAGAGUGGACUUCCAUGGUGGCCAAAGUUGUUAGAGGUCUUCUCAGACUCAAGUGCUCGAGGAGAUAGAGGAGUAUCUCAACAUACUACUGGGAAGCAAAAGUCCAUUGACAUUGAUCUUGGUUGUGAGGAUGAGAAUGAUACACAUAAUUCCUCUAAAUAUUUAGUAGGUCUGGAUGAUAUAGAGCCUACAGAUGUUGACAAAGUGGUCAGUCAUUCUACAACAAAGCGGAAGCGUGAUAGAACUGCCAUAGACUGAAGGAAGAAGAGUACAACAAAAUUCAUUACCAAAUUUACACAUGACUUUAGCUCAUAUGUGGCCUAAAAAAUGGAACGAGGGGGUAGUAGUACUCCCACUUCCAGAAUAGUUCUUCCAACUGUCAAUAAUCAAGUGGAUGGAAUGUACAGCAUCAAAGCAUGUCAGGUAUUGUUGGACAACAUGACCGAGUUAACAGAAGAGAUGUGGGUGAAGGCUCAACAAAAGAUACACAAGAGUGUUGCUUGGAGAAUAUCAUUUGUAGAAGUUGUUGCUGAAAAAAGGAUGUGGAUGAUUAGAGCAUUGAAGUAGGAUUUGGGAGUUUCUUGAAAA